rnacentral:piRNA from 1 species
UCACUGCUAGUUAUGACGGGUGCUUCUG